AGCUGAUGCACCUUUGGCGGNCUACUCCUCCCAGUGCCGCCGCAUGAGCUGUUCCCCUCUGGAGGUUUUUGACCUUCACACUUUGAUUGGGCCCGAGAGCAAUCUCGCGGGCCAUUUUU
rnacentral:sRNA from 12 species